rnacentral:misc_RNA from 1 species
UCUCCGUUGGUGAACCAGCGGAGGGAUCAUUACAGAGUUGCAAAACUCCCAAACCCUUGUGAACAUACCUGUACGUCGUUGCUUCGGCGGGUAGCCCAUUUCAGGGCCCAGCCUCCUUGUGAGGUGCCCGCCGGAGGACCAAACACAAACUCUUGUAAUAAUUGGCCUCUCUGAGUAUUAUACAAAUAAGUUAAAACUUUCAACAACGGAUCUCUUGGUUCUGGCAUCGAUGAAGAACGCAGC